GACGAACGCUGGCGGCGUGCCUAAUACAUGCAAGUCGAACGCAGUUGGGACGGGUGAGUAACACGUGGGUAACCUCCCCAUCAGCGGGGAUAAAACUUGGAAACAGGUGCUAAACAGAUAUGACUGGUUGGACCCGCGGUGAAUUAGCUAGUUGGUGAGGUAACGGCUCACCAAGGCCACGAUGCAUAGCCGAGCUGAGAGGGUGAUCGGUCACACUGGGACUGAGACACGGCCCAGACUCCUACGGGAGGCAGCAGUGGGGAAUCGUCGGCAAUGGACGAAAGUCUGACCGAGCAACGCCGCGUGAGUGAAGAAGGUUUUCGGAUCGUAAAACUCUGUUGGUAGAGAAGCGGUAUCUAACCAGAAAGCCACGGCUAACUACGUGCCAGCAGCCGCGGUAAUAC
rnacentral:rRNA from 1 species